rnacentral:rRNA from 1 species
GUCUAUGGCUAUGCUACCCUGAACAUGCCCAAUCUCGUCUGAUCUCGGAAUCUUAAGCAGGGUUGGGCCUGGUUAGUUCUUGGAUAGGAGACCACCUUGGAAUACCAGGUGCUGUAGGCA